GGCGAACCGUGCGAACGUUGUUCGGAAUCACUGGGCUUAAAGGGCGCGUAGGCGGACCACCCAGUCCGGGGUGAAAUCUUUCGGCUUAACCGGAAAAGGGCCUUGGAUACUGGUGGUCUCGAGGAAGGUAGGGGCAUGCGGAACUUCCGGUGGAGCGGUGAAAUGCGUUGAUAUCGGAAGGAACGCCGGUGGCGAAAGCGGCGUGCUGGACCUUUGCUGACGCUGAGGCGCGAAAGCCAGGGGAGCAAACGGG
rnacentral:rRNA from 1 species